GAUGAACGCUGGCGGCGUGCCUAAUACAUGCAAGUCGAGCGAACAGAUACGGCGCUUGCUCCUUUGUCGUUAGCGGCGGACGUGUGUGUCACACGUGGGUACCCUCCUUAUCUGUCUGGGAUAAUUUCGGGAAACCGGAUCUUAUACCGGAUAAUAUUUCGAACCGCAUGGUUCGAUAGUGGAUGUUGGUUUUGCUAUCUCUUAUCGCUGGAUCCGCGCCGUAUUAGAUAGUUGUUAAGGUAACGGCUUACCAAGGCGACCAUACGUAACCGACGGGCGAGGGUGAUCGGCCACACGAGAAGUGAGACGCGGUCCAGAGUCCUACGGGAGGGAGCAGAAGGGAAUCGGCCGCAGUGGUCGAAAACCUUACGGAGCAACGCCACGUGAGAGAUAGAGGUCUUCCGAUCGUAAAACUCUGUUAUUAGUGAAGAACAGACGUGUAAGUAACUGUGCACGUAUUGACGGUACCUAAUCAGAAAGCCACGGCUAACUACGUG
rnacentral:rRNA from 1 species